UCCGGUUGAUCCUGCCAGAGGUCACUGCUAUCGGGGUUCGAUUAAGCCAUGCGAGUCGAGAGGGUUCGGCCCUCGGCGUACUGCUCAGUAACACGUGGAUAACCUGCCCUAGGGAAGGGGAUAACCCCGGGAAACUGGGGAUAAUACCCUAUAGGUUACAGAUGCUGGAAUGCCCUGUAACCCAAAGUUCCGACGCCCUAGGAUGGAUCUGCGGCCGAUUAGGUUGUUGUUGGGGUAAUGGCCCAACAAGCCCGUAAUCGGUACGGGUUGUGGGAGCAAGAGCCCGGAGUUGGAUUCUGAGACACGAAUCCAGGCCCUACGGGGCGCAGCAGGCGCGAAAACUUUACAAUGCGGGCAACCGUGAUAAGGGAACCUCGAGUGCCUGUAAAUGCAGGCUGUUCAGGUGCCUAAAACACACCUGAAGAAAGGGCCGGGCAAGACCGGUGCCAGCCGCCGCGGUAAUACCGGCGGCUCGAGUGGUGGCCGCUUUUAUUGGGCUUAAAGCGUUCGUAGCUGGGUUGUUAAGUCUCUUGGGAAAUCUGGCGGCUUAACCGUCAGGCGUCUAAGGGAUACUGGCAAUCUUGGAACCGGGAGAGGUGAGGGGUACUUCGGGGGUAGGAGUGAAAUCCUGUAAUCCUCGAGGGACCACCUGUGGCGAAGGCGCCUCACCAGAACGGCUUCGACAGUGAGGGACGAAAGCUGGGGGAGCAAACCGGAUUAGAUACCCGGGUAGUCCCAGCCGUAAACUAUGCGCGUUAGGUGUAUCGGUGACCACGAGUUACCGAGGUGCCGAAGGGAAACCGUGAAACGUGCCGCCUGGGAAGUACGGUCGCAAGGCUGAAACUUAAAGGAAUUGGCGGGGGAGCACCACAACAGGUGGAGCCUGCGGUUUAAUUGGACUCAACGCCGGGAAGCUCACCGGAUAAGACAGCAGAAUGAUUGCCGGGCUGAAGACUCUGCAUGACUAGCUGAGAGGAGGUGCAUGGCCGUCGUCAGUUCGUACUGUGAAGCAUCCUGUUAAGUCAGGCAACGAGCGAGACCC
rnacentral:rRNA from 1 species